rnacentral:rRNA from 1 species
AAUGAAACUAACCAGGAUUGCAUCAGUAACUGCGAGUGAACCGGCACCAGACCAGCCUGUGAAUCGCGCAAGCGACUUGUGGAGUGGAGACUUGUCCCUGACCCUGCUGGUGUGAGUGUAACUUGGUUGGAAUGCCAGGCCGCAGAGGGUGCAAGCCCCGUGCCGCUCACGCUGCAGACAAGGGAGAGUUCGAAGAGUCGGGUAGUUCGGGACUGCUGCCCUAAGUGGGAGAUAGACUUCUUCCAAGGCUAAAUAACGACGAGAGACCGAUAGCGAACAAGUACUGUGAAGGAAAGAUGCAAAGCACUUUGAAAAGAGAGUUAAAAGACUUGAAAUCGCUGAGGAGGAAGCAGUGGGACGUCGGCUCGACUGAGUGGAAACUUGGCUAAGGCCCUGUGGGAGCUCAGUCAUAGCAACACCUGCGAGGUCGGAGCUGCGAGGAACUAGUUUGGUCCUCUCCAGGCCGAGAUCAACGCAAGUGUUGUGCGGCGUCUCACUGGCCCGUCUUGAAACACGGACCAAGGAGUCUAACAUGUGUGCGAGUAGUCGGGUAGAAAGCCUCACUGCGCAACGAAAGUGAGCCUUGCGAAAUUUGCAGCAAGGGCCGCAUUAGCGCGCUGAGCAGACAUGUUGGGACCCGAAAGAUGGUGAACUAUGCUUGGGGAAGGCGAAGCCAGGGGAAACUCUGGUGGAGGCUUGUAGAGAUACUGACGUGCAAAUCGCUCGU